rnacentral:rRNA from 1 species
GACGAACGCUGGCGGCGUGCUUAACACAUGCAAGUCGUACGGUAAGGCCCUUUCGGGGGUCCACGAGUGGCGAACGGGUGAGUAACACGUGAGUAACCUGCCCACAACUUUGGGAUAACGCUAGGAAACUGGUGCUAAUACUGGAUAUGUGCUCCUGCUGCAUGGUGGGGGUUGGAAAGCUCCGGCGGUUGUGGAUGGACUCGCGGCCUAUCAGCUUGUUGGUGGGGUAGUGGCCUACCAAGGCGGCGACGGGUAGCCGGCCUGAGAGGGUGACCGGCCACAUUGGGACUGAGAUACGGCCCAGACUCCUACGGGAGGCAGCAGUGGGGAAGAUCGCACAAUGGGCGCAAGCCUGAUGCAGCAACGCCGCGUGCGGGAUGACGGCCUUCGGGUUGUAAACCGCUUUCAGCAGGGACGAAGCUUUUUGUGACGGUACCUGCAGAAGAAGCACCGGCUAACUACGUG